GCGCAGCGCCGCAGCCUCCACUCUCUCUAGACUCAGACGAAAACCCUAAAUAAUUUCUUAGGGUUACACAGUUAUAUCAGAUGCGCCGCUACCAACAACUGCUAUUACCAUCUCUCUCUUAAACCUUGCAAACCCUAGAAAACUAUCUCUGCUAAAAACUACCUUCGUUCUCAUACGAAAACCACCAAAAUCAACAAUCACAAAGGUAGCGCCUAUUUCAUCUUCCACGAACAACGGCGAAAGAAAGUACUACAAAUCGACGCUCACUCCAGUUCAAUAUACAGAAAAAGGUGUCGAAUUCCAUGAAAUAAUCAGGAUUACCCAUAUUCAAGAUAAGUAUCUAUAUAUUUUUUUUCUUAUAUUUAACUAUGUUCAUGAAUUGCUAUACUGAUGUUUCUUUCUUUCCCUAUUUGACAGAAAUUGGAGAAAAAUAGUUACAAAAAAUAAAAAGAGGUAUUAAUUACAGACGCGCGAAGAAAUUGGUAUAAACAGUUGAAAGCGAAAUCGAAGACGAACUAUCUUAAAGUUUUGCCUGACAAAGAUAGCUGGACUUCAGAAGGAUGCAAAUCCACAAUUUUGGUAUACACAGGUGCCAUGAUGUCUUCCAAUACCUGCAAUCAUUAAAAAAAUAUCAAUCAUUCUCUGUAACACUUAUCUGUAAUAGGUAGUAUUUGUAAGAAAAGAUUCAUUAUAUGUACACCUUAGAUAUAGAUUUUUAGUACUUAAGAGAUAAACUUGAACUACACAAACAGGGCUUACAACUUUCAAGCAUAACAGAAGAACAGCAAAGGUAUGUAAACAGGUAGACUUUCCAUUCUUUGCAGUAUAUUAUUUAUCAGUCUAA